rnacentral:rRNA from 1 species
AUUGAACGCUGGCGGCAUGCCUUACACAUGCAAGUCGAACGGUAACGGGCCUUCGGGUGCCGACGAGUGGCGCACGGGUGAGUAAUACAUCGGAACGUGCCCGAUCGUGGGGGAUAACGAGGCGAAAGCUUUGCUAAUACCGCAUACGAUCUACGGAUGAAAGCAGGGGACCGCAAGGCCUUGCGCGGACGGAGCGGCCGAUGGCAGAUUAGGUAGUUGGUGGGAUAAAAGCUUACCAAGCCGACGAUCUGUAGCUGGUCUGAGAGGAUGAUCAGCCACACUGGGACUGAGACACGGCCCAGACUCCUACGGGAGGCAGCAGUGGGGAAUUUUGGACAAUGGGCGCAAGCCUGAUCCAGCCAUGCCGCGUGCAGGAUGAAGGCCUUCGGGUUGUAAACUGCUUCUGUACGGAACGAAAAGCCUUCUUUUAAUACAGGAGGGUCAUGACGGUACCGUAAGAAUAAGCACCGGCUAACUACGUG